AGAGUUUGAUCCUGGCUCAGAACGAACGCUGGCGGCAGGCUUAACACAUGCAAGUUGAACGGGAUUUGUUAGGUGCUUGCAUCUAACGAUGAGAGUAGCGCACUGGUGAGUAACACGUGGGAACAUGCCUUUUGGUGGGGGACAACAGGAGGAAACUUCUGCUAAUACCGCAUAAGCCCUGAGGGGGAAAGAAUUUUUUGCCGAAAGAUUGGCCCGCGGAAGAUUAGGUAGUUGGUGGGGUAAAGGCCUACCAAGCCGACGAUCUAUAGCUGGUCUGAGAGGACGAACAGCCACAUUGGAACUGAGACACGGUCCAGACUCCUACGGGAGGCAGCAGUGAGGAAUAUUGGGCAAUGGAGGAAACUCUGACCCAAGCCAUGCCGCGUGAGUGAAGAAGGUUUUCGAAUUGUAAAGCUCUUUCGGAUGUGACGAUGAUGACGGUAACAUCUAAAGAAGCCCCGGCAAACUUCGUGCCAGCAGCCGC
rnacentral:rRNA from 1 species